rnacentral:rRNA from 1 species
UCAGUCGACUCCUACGGGGAGGCAGCAGUAGGGAAUCUUCCACAAUGGGCGAAAGCCUGAUGGAGCAAUGCCGCGUGAGUGAAGAAGGUUUUCGGAUCGUAAAACUCUGUUGUUGAAGAAGAACAUGCGUGAGAGUAACUGUUCACGUACUGACGGUAUUCAACCAGAAAGCCACGGCUAACUACGUGCCAGCAGCCGCGGUAAUACGUAGGUGGCAAGCGUUGUCCGGACUUAUUGGGCGUAAAGAGAAUGUAGGCGGUUUAUUAAGUUUGAAGUGAAAGCCCUCGGCUCAACCGAGGAAGUGCUUCGAAAACUAGGUAAACUUGAGUGCAGAAGAGGAAAGUGGAACUCCAUGUGUAGCGGUGGAAUGCGUAGAUAUAUGGAAGAACACCAGUGGCGAAGGCGGCUUUCUGGUCUGUAACUGACGCUGAGAUUCGAAAGCAUGGGUAGCAAACAGGAUUAGAUACCCUGGUAG